UUCGGAGCUGUGCGGCGCGCUGAGCAGGAAUGGCAAUGUGGACCUCUGAUGGAACAUCUGGUGGGAUCUCACAGUCAGGUAACUCAGUGGGGGGCAUGACUAAAACAUAAUGACCAUAAAGCCCAUGAUGGUAUGAGAGUAGUGGACAGAAGGGAUUUCUGAAAAACACUUUUCUGAGGCUUUAAUUCAGCUAAUGGAAAGGGUUUAGUUCAGUGAAGAAGGGGACUGACUGUUCGCAUCUUUUAUUUCCAGUUCUGUGGCAAAGGAGGAUGAAGACUUAAAGAGGACUCAACAGGAAGCUGGAUAACAGAAAGAGAGCAAUGUAAGCAGUUUUUUGUGUGCAUGUGGUCCCAUUACAAGGAAUACUCAAUGGCAAGUGAGCACUAAAGAUCCCUCAACCCACACGUUGAAUGUAGAGUUCCCUGAAAGCAAUUGUAGAGGAGUGGGUGGGAGAUCUGAAGUCAGGGCAUUGCUUCUUCUAGGUAUCUGAGGAGGAUGGUUUUUGAUAUCUGUGGGAGCUAGUGGUCCAACACAGGGUUUAUAAUUGUCAUUUAGGUCACAUUUGGUGGACUCUGGUUCCCCCAUCUUAAGUGCUGAGUCAGCGGCCUAACAGGGCAGCUUUAACUGUUUGUUUGUUGUAGGUGCUAGAAUAGAAGACCAGAAAAUGAAAGAUAUGAAAAAAAGGUGGAGUUUAAGGCUGGAUAUACAGCUUGAAAAGUACAAAUGAUGGUUUGAAUAAAGAAAGGUAUGAACGCAUGGGUCACUUCAAGUGAAGGCACUGCAAACACAAUGGGUAAGUCUUUGAA
ensembl:processed_transcript uncharacterized LOC110297540